rnacentral:lncRNA from 1 species
AUGCCUCACCUCUAUUCUCUCUCCCUAGCUUCUUUCUCUACCAAAAACCACUGACUUUAGCAAACCACCAACACACCCAAUAACGAACAACCCGGCACCAGCGAUCCCAAAUCCGGUAUCUGCGACCCGACAUCAAUGAAGCAACAACAACAGUCGCAAUAUCAAUAUGACAGCUGCGACCAAAUUUCCAAACCGACCCCACCCGCGAAUAGUUUCAUUCAACCCAAUGACAAUGACCCUUAAAUUAUGAAAAACAUCUCUCUCCAUUUUAUCUCUCUAUUUUGCACACCUAGAGCCAUUCUUUUUGUCUUUCUUGCUCAAUAUUGUGUGUUACAAAACCCAAAAUCCAAUCCAAAUCAAAAGAUGUCAAUCCAAAUCCAAAUUUCAGGAUAUGUUUCUCUAUUUUUAAUGAUGAAAAAUCAAUAUUCCCCCCUAUAAAUAAGGAUUGAGAAGAAGGCAAUGAGAGUAUUUUUGGUGAAAAUAUUGGGGGCUGAAAGCGCUUGCUUUUAACUUCACGUAACUAAAAUCCUCAAGGAACACAAUUCGAAAAUCCGAUGAAUUUGUUUCCGGUGGAGCAGAAUUGGGUUUCAGUGGUGGAAGUCGCAACUUGAUAAGCUCGUUUAUUUCAUUCGCUGCCCGAAAAUAGGUGAGCGAUUCACUCUCUCGCACUUUUUAUUUUAUUCUUUAAUUGUUAUAACGCGUAAUAUCGUUAUUGUUAUUGAUGGUGGAAAGCUGUUGUUAUUGAGGUAGUUGUUGUUGUUGAAAUCUCACAUUAGGUGAGGCUGCUGUGAUUAUAUGCAGUAGAAGGCUUUGAAGGCCGGAGGAUUUUCACGAUUUGCGAUGGUUAUAUUGCUUCAAAACCCUUUACGAAGGAGAUACAUUAGUUACAUUUAUAUAUGAAAAAUCGAGAUCUGGUGAUAUAACACAGGGUCUUGUUCUUGACUUAGUCGUUUAGUACAUUGUUUCUUACAUCUCUUGCUUUUAGCUUUGUGUUUUCAUAUAUCCUGUUGAUAAUCUGCAUGACAUUUGAUUAAAAAAAAGAUUCUUUGAGGAGUACUAAUUCAACUUGUUUCAUGUAUAUAUCAUCCUCGUGUUUUAGUUGUUGGUAUUGUUUUCUUUGAAAUUAUUAUGUGACUAAAUGAAAUGGAUGCCGGGAUGUGCAAUCCCUGUUGAUCCCUUUUUCUUUUAAACACGUUUUUUGUCCCUUCAUUUUUCUUGAAAAGGUGGAAAUAAUGCUUGAUCGAUAAACUGAAUUAUUAUUUGUGAUAAAAAUAAAUCUUUCUUGUCUUGGUUGUCAUUAAUUUGCUCUAAAAUAUGGUUGAGUGUAAGUUAAAGACUAUUAUGGGAAUUUUGCUUAAAUUGUGAAAGUACUGCUGAAAUCUACCUCACCUUGUUUUCUCUACUGAUCUUAUUUGUAGACUUGAGUUCUCUUCUUACUUACUAAUGACCCUAUUUUGAUCUUUCCUCAUAGUUGUACACAUUUUUUUCUUUUUCUUGAAAUCACGUGUAGGAUAGUCUAUAAUUUAAUCUGAUAUGUGACUCGAAUGAUUAAAGUUUCAGCAUCAUUUUUGCUGGAUCGGGAGAAAUAUUUCAAUUUCUUGUCAUCCCACCCCUCUUCUCUUAAAGUAUUGUUUUCGUUAGAACGCAUGGGUCGAUGUUUUGUUAAUUGUCUACGUGGUGAUCAAUUUGAAACAAAAUGUUGAUAGGGCAUAUCAAUUGAGCCACCGGUUUACUUAUUCAAGAGAAUUUAUCCGUUGUGAUAGUUAAUUUGCUUUUUUUUUUUUUUUUUUUAGAUAAUUGAGUUGAGUGUGUGCUAAUUUUAUUUUCUUUUUGCUUGACACAUGUAAAUUUCGGGUCCAAUUGGGCCCUUCAUUUCAUCACUUGUGUAUCCUCAUGGGCUAAGAUGGCCCAAUAUUAUUGAGUUAUACUUCAAGGCCCAAAAGUGGGUAGGUUAAGUUGAUGGAGAUGUGUGGCUAAACGCUACAUAGGGGAGUUAGUAUAUAGGUGGAAGACCCAAAUUACAUGUAUAUAUAACUAAUGUGCGGUCACCAGACAUACAAAGCGUGGAGAGUAGGGGUUGGUGUACAUGUGGUAAAAUGAUCAAAGUCUAUAAAAUGGGAAGCCCAAACUUGGCAACUCAGUGAUAGGCCCAAAAGUGGCCCAACUCGAACCUUUAUCUUUUAUUCUAUUUGAAUUGUCACUUGUAUAAUUGUCUAUUUGUAUUAGCACUAAUUUUACUUAAUUAGCCUAGUGAUUUCCCACGUGUUGUCAUUUCAUUUAUUUCGAAUCCCUUAUUUAUUUCAUAAUUUUUCACGUAAUUCAUAAAAGAAAUUACAAUGAUUAGUUUAGUAAAAAAAAGAUAUUUUUUCUUAUUCAUAUGAUUAAUGGUCCACUUGGGUUAAAAAGUAAUUUUUUCAAACUAAAAAAAAGUUAAUUCUUUUCUCGUAAAGUCUAAUUUAUAAAAUGUUUCUUUAACACGAUACUUGUUUAAUAUUUUUCAAAGGGGUUAUUUAUAAUAAAAUGACCAUUUCUAUUAUGAUAAUAAUAAUAUGUAAUUAUAUAAUUCUCUUUCCCAUAAAAAACAAGCUUAUUCUUUUCUUAAAUCCAAGUGUGCCACCUUGUUUAAAUAUGUUUUCCUUAAUUCCUGUGAAAAUAAUAUUUCAUAACUUUUUUAGAAAUAAUUAUGAAUUAAGUAGAAUAUUUCUCAAUUAGAGCAUUCCUUGAUUUUUUUUCAAAUCCUAACUUUUCGCAGCCAAUUAUGAAUUAAAUAAAAAAUAUUUUUUAAGCAGAAUAUUUCAUAAUUUUUUUCAAAAAUUAAUCAUGAAUGAAACAGAGUAUUUCCUAAUUUUGUUCUUUAUUUUUUUAUUUGUUUCAUUUUAUUUUUCUAUAAAUUAAUACUGGACUAAGUGAAAUAUGUUGUAACUUUUUCAAGUAGACUAUUUUUCGUUUGAAUAAAUAAAUGACAAUUUCAAGUAAAUAAAUAAAUAAAUGAUUUUAUCAAAGCAAUCAUUACGUAAAGCUAGUCACCUUUUUUAAGUUAGUCAAAAAAUGAUCUUUUGGUAAACUAGUUUAAAAUGGACGCUCCUAAGUGCCGUAAAAAGCUUCUUAGGGCAUUAAUUUAAUCCUUACUCGAUUUCUUUAAUUUCAAAGGUUUAUUUCUGUUUUUAAAUCUUUGAAAUUCUUUAAGUUUUCGUGAUAUUUAUUCUAUAAAAAAUCAAGUGGAGACUCUGUGAAUUCUUAAAAUAAUUAUUUCAGAAUUUCUUUAAAUUUUUGAAAUAGUUUAAAAAAGGUCAAAACUAUUUUCUUUAAAAUAAAAAUUCGAAAAGGAUAAAACAGAAAUGACGACUCUGCUGGGGAAUGAACCCAGAAUCUCUGGUUCUAACCAAAAGUAAUUUUUCUAACUUGUUGUGGCUAAUUAUUACGUAUUUAUUUUAAAUUUCAUAUAAACUAUCAUUCUGUUUAUAUUUCUUGCAUUCAGGAAAACUGUAAGAAUCACACGUACACGUGAGGUGUGUUUCCCGCACCCACAAAUUUCUUUCGAAUUCUAAAUUUUAGGAGAGGCGCGGUGUGUUCGGAUUUGUUUUUGUGUGACUGUAUAGCCUUCUCACUCGAGUUGUCCACUCGGGAAUCUUGUGUUUAGCAAGCCAAAUCUUAGAAGAACUUACGAUAGAACUUCCCCGAAUAUAGGUCAUGCAUGCAUAAGCCUUAGGUGGCUUGACCCAAGAUGUCAUUCCGCAUAUUUAGGAAACGUCCUUAUGUCAAAUAGGUUUAUGACCUAAAAACAACUGCUCAUAUUAUGUGCAUGUGAUAGUGAUAAACGGAUCCAAGCCUAAUUGAGGUACCGCGAGUUUGGAAAAUGUUUGUUUAUUUUAUUGUAUUUACUUGUAGGAUGAAUUUAGUUCCCAAAGUUCCCAAGAUUAGAAUGGUCGAAGGUGUUCCAUACAAGUUGAGGAUAUGGUGGGAAAAUUUCAACUUGAUCGAAAAAUCAACGAUCACCAGAAAAUUGGGGUUCCUUUCUACACUCUUCAAGAUCUCCCUCGACAAACAUGUGGUUAGAGCGUUGAUUUCAUUUUGGAACCCAGAUCGAGUUGUCUUUGCAUUCAAUGACUUUGAACUCACCCCCAUAUUAGAGGAGAUAUAUUAAUUCACUAAUUUGAAGUAUCAAGGGAUAGGUCAAAUCAUCCUACACAGUCGUCAAGAUAGUUAUAAGCUAUUCAAGAAGGAGUUUGCUUUCACUUCUACCUAUUAGCGAGUUAGACGUUCGAUUGCAUUUGUCGUUGCCUUGCUAGGGACUUUCGUAUUUCCACAAAAAUAUGGAAAGAUUAGUACUUGCAUAUGUUCAGUGGCUCGAGCAGUUUUUAAAAGAGUUGAUGGAGGAGAAAUCACCUUGGUUCCUAAGAUCUUGGCGAAAAUAUUUUGCGCACUCGGAAAGUGUAAAAGAGGUGAAACACGGUUCUUUGAAGGUUGCACUCUCCUUCUGUAGAUGUGGGCAAAAGAGCAUUUCUACAAGCGUAACACUAUGACUAACAUAAUGUUUAUCGCUUCACAUAAGAUUGACACUCAUGAUGACAAAAUAAGGAGGUUCGUUUCCCUAGUUGGCACCGAUGAUUGGUGUGAAUUCUUAGCCUUUCGUACCAGUGACCAAGUCCAGUGGAGAUACCCACUACUUUCAUGUUCCACGACUUACAUAUGGUGCAAAGGGCUUUAUUAUAUUGAGCUUAUCGGGUUAAGAGGUCUAUAACCAUAUGCCCUGGUGCGUGUACUCCGACAGUUUGGUCAGAUACAGACCAUCCCUCCAAGUAAAUAUGCGAGUUUCAGUAGUCCUUUAUGGACCAUACUUCAGAGUUCCUAGGGCCAGUCAAAUUUUGCAUGAAUGGAGCAACAUUAUCAUAAUAAAUGUGAGACACAGACCAAUAGAGUAUAUGCUAUAAUACCAGGUAUGGGUUUGAGAAUACCGCGGUGACAUAAAACCCAGUCCAGAAGAGGAACAAGGUUUUAAGGAUAUUGGUAUGACUAUUUGGAAAAGGCAUUUUUGUCUUGGAACCUCGGUGGUCACGCCUAAAAUGUGGGAUCAAAUGUCCAACAUAAUGCAGUAUUUGAAAAAUACGGGAGCACAGCCCAGUAAUAUUGGGGCAUCAUCUUCACGUCCCCCACCAGCAUGAUCAGAAAUAGGGUCUGGGUUAAGUUUUAGGAUUGUCCUUUUUCAUCUUAUUUCUUAUUAUUGUACUCAAUUAAUAUUUCAAUGAAACUUGGCACUUUUAUUUCCGAACUCGAAGUAUGUCUCAAAUUAAUGGCUUGGAUCAAUUUAUCAUAAUCUCAAUUACUUGACGCUAGGCCAACCCUUGGCUCAAAAGGGUAACCUAAUUAGGACACACCAUUUAUUUGUUGUGUGAUAUAAUUAUCUCAUGUGAUAUGCUAUAUGUGUUGUUAAAUCAAAGGUAAAUUGAUCUACUCCUCAAAUCCUUAGAAAAGCCUUUAGCCAAAAAAUAUACGCCUACUAUCGAAAGUUCGUCCAAAAUAAUCCAAGUCCCUAAGUUUCUCAGAAAGUCCUCAACCAUUUUCUUUAACUUUAUUUUUAAACAUAUUCCUAUUAUUUCAGGAAAAUUUGUCAUAGAUUCAAAGACCACACAACUGAAAAGACGGAUAGUGGAGUUAACCCAAGUAGAAAAAAUAAAAACAGAAGAGGUCAAGUGACUGAUUAGGAGGGUCGACCAGGCUGACAAAGAAAUUGCUAAAGUCAAGCAGUUGAUCGCACAAGAAAAGAAGAAGUUUGUGGAAGCUCUACCUUUAAACUUAAGAGAGGACCGCUGGGCCAAGAUUAAAGAGGAUGUUGUCUGGAUAACUAGGAUCAGAGCAGGAAGUGAAAAGAUUACCCUCAAAGCUCACCUUAAAGGACACUUUCGGUGCCCCCAGAUCAUGACAUGCUCGACAUUCUAUUAGAUCCUAAGAGAUACGAGAGUCCUCCACCCUGAUCAAAUAGAAGGACUUAGCUGAUUUCCCAAAGAUGCUCAUAAAAGAUGUCAUUAUCAUCUGAAUCAAUGUGGCCAUACCACUAAUGAGUGUCCUACUUUGACGGCUAAAAUUUGCAAUAUGAUCUUCAAUGAGCAAAUGAAUAAUUUAUGGGGAUCACAAACUAUUCUCUGUUGCGAUUGAGUUGAUCUUAGAAUUCCCAUCACCAACGAUGUGCAGAUUUACAAAUGGGAAGCCUAAUAUGAUGUUUAAGUCUUGGAAGAAAUUCAUAGAGAUUUUUCAUUAUCAUGGAUGGAUUGGAGGGCACAACUUGGAGACUUUCCAUGCUUUUAAGAUAGAUUUAGAGAGCCUGGUGGAUACAGGAAGGGUCGAGCUAGAAUUUUUGCCAUACCAUCCAUAAAAGAUUAAGAUAUGGAAGAAGCAGAAUGAAGUGGGAAUGCCCGCAUCUAUCUAGGGCCUAGUCAUUAGUCUUGUCUUCUCUGUUGUUGUUUUCCUUUUGUGUUUUCCUGAUGUAAUAAACUCUAAUGAAAUUUCAAUGAAAUAAAGUUGUAUCGUUCCUAUUUGAACUAUGUAUGGCCUAAUUUCUCCUUUGUGAGAUACGUAGGUAGCCUUUCGACCCGACCUCCAUCCUUUAAAAUUGCUAUGUCUCAAUUUGUCAAAGAAAGUUAUAUUAGUCCAAAAUCAGAAGUCUUGGGAAAAAUCUUAUCAAGACCCAUUUAUCCAAAAAUCAAUGAAAAAAUCCUACCCGUUAAUUUCUUUCGAGUCAAUACCCGCCUUUGGAUCAAUUUAUCUACUAUGAAAGCAACUUUAUGUGUCUAAUUUAUGUCAGAUAUCUUGCGUUAUUUAUCACUAACCAAAUCUAACAUUUUUGCCUUUGGAGUUGUUUUAUUAGGUAUCAAGUAAGUAGAAAUUGAUCUGUGUUGACAAAACUGGCUGAACAUCAAUAUUUCACUAGAUCUAAGGCAAAUAAAAAUUCCUUCCUUGACCAUCGCUUGGCUAAAGAGGAAAGAAUGACUGGAACUAGUGAUGAUAUUAUUGUUAGGAUGGUGUGAUAAUGGCACAAGGAGAGAUGAUUGUUGAACUAACUAGGAGAAUGAAAGAGCUUUAAUAAGAAGUACAACGAGUAAAAGAUAUGGCUAAUCUGGCCAUCGGCGCUAAUUUGCCAGUCUUGGUUACCCGUGCACUUCUACUCCGAUUCCCUCCUUUUAGCUCUCGUAACAAUGGAAACCAACCAAAUGACACACCCUCUGCUUCUAUGCCUAGACCUCCCACUACUCCUAUUAAUCAGUCGUGCUAGACCCAUAUCCCUCUUACUUCUAAUACUAAUCGAAAAAACAAUCCAAAUGCUUACCACCCUGAAAGCUUCACUCCAAACUACCAAAAUACCUCUACAAAUGACUUCACUUCCCAAAAUACUCGCCCUACUUUCAGUCUCAAUGCCAAUGUUCUCCAAAAUCCAGUCCCCACAUACUAAAACUUUGCUCACACCUCUCAAAACCCUCUGAUGACCUAAAAUAUGUCCCCCGCCACUAUCCAUGCUGCUGUAAUACCUACCUCUUACCAUACAUUCCCUUAAAAUCUAUAAAUUGACCACUAUGAGGAGAUGGAGAAGGAGCGUAAGGUGCCUGAGGACAGACAUGCUAGGGAACUACUGCUGAUAAAAGAAGAGAUUGCCAGAAUGAAAAAAACACAUGGUUCGCCCAAUACAACAGGGUUCAUUUAUGACGACCUUUGUAUUCACCCUGACUUGAACAUGCCUGAAGGAUUUAAAUUCCAUAAGUUUGAGACAUUCAAUGGUACUGGGAACUCUAUGGCCUACUUGAGAGGAUAUUGUGACCAAAUGGCAUGCGCCAAUAUAAAUUAGGCAUUACUGAUGAGGCUCUUUAGUCGAAGCUUGAGUGGAAAAGCAUUAGAAUGGUUUUCUUCACAUGAACUAAAGAAGUGUCCUGAUUGGAGUGCUUUAGCCAGAGAUUUUGUUGAUAAAUUUGCCUACAACAUAGAGAUGGUUCCUGAUCAAUAUUCUUUGAACCGCAUCAAGCAAAAGUCUAAUGAAUUCUUUCGUGAAUAUGCCUAUUGUUCGCGAAAAAAGGCAGCAAAAGUAUGACCUUCUAUGACAGAAGAAGAAAUAGUCAUUGUGCUUACCCGAGCUUAGGAGGGAGAGUUUUAUGACAAGAUAAUAUCGAUAGUUCGUGCUACCUUUGCUGUCUUAGUUAAAGUUGGUGAAACAGUUGAAGAAGGAAUUAGGACGGGAAAAAUCAACAAGACCUCUACACAACUUGGAUCUUCAGGAUUCCUAAAGAAAGAGAGAGAAGAUGUGUCUUUCGUAUCCUUUAGUCCAAACCUGAAGUCAAAUAAAUCUUUCAGUUUUAAUCUUGGGCAAAGGCCAUCACCGUCUAUUUACCCCUCAGCUCUACAAAAUCCCCAACCUGUGUUCUAUACCCAACCUAGCCCCGAGUUCCAUAACUAAAUUUCUCUACCAAUCAAUCAAAUUACCCAGCUCCAUUGCCAAAUUAUCAACCCACUUACCAAGCUCCACUCCAAAAUUUCCAAGCCUACCAAAAAGCCCCAAUUAACCAAAAUUAUCAAGUCCCUCCCUUUACUUACCAAAAUCUUCCUCGUCCAAAUAAUGAAAAGAAAGUCACUAGAAAUUUCACUUCUUUGGCUGAAACCAGAACUCAGUUGUUUGUAAGGCUAAAGAAAGCAAAGCUCAUCCAACCUAUCCCACCAAAACCCACCAAUAACAAUUCUCAAUUUUUCCAUGCCGAUCAGCAUUGUGUAUAUCAUUCAGAAGGUGUUGGACACACAACUGAGGACUGCAUUAAUUUAAAGCAUAAGAUUCAAGAUUUGAUUGACCAAAAUGUGAUCUCACUUUAAAUGGCAGUGCCGAAUAUUACCACCAACCUAUUCCCAAACUAUGAAAGGGCAACCAUCAGUAUGAUAGAAACAGAUGAUGAGUGGAUGCUAUGUAAGUCUGUAUUGCAGGCUAGCCCAAAUGAGAUGGAUAAGGUGAAAGAUAUAAAAAAGGCAAUGGCUACCUUAAGUGUUGCCAAGAAUCCAAAGUUUGUUGCAUUCAUCACACCUCAUCAAGCCUUCGCCUUAGUUCCUGCGAAUUUAUGGUAGAAGCCGCCACUGCGCAAGGAAUAACUAAAUCGGGGAGAUGCUACACUUUAUAGGAGCCUGCCAAUGAUGCAUACAAGAAGAGUGCUAAAAAAAGGCCAGUCAUUGAAGGGUAAGUCAAAGAAUUUUGGAGAAGAAUACAUCUAAAAGAGUACUCUAUUGUGAAACAUUUGGAGAAGACGCCUGCUCAGAUUUCUAUUUUGGCACUACUUAUGAGUUCUCAAUAUAAUAGACAAGCUCUAAUCGAAGUUCUCAAGGAAGUCCACGUGCCCGUGGGCACCAGUACUAAAAAUUUGGUGGUCAUGAUCAGUAGAGUGGUGGGAGCCUAUCACAUUUGCUUUGGUAGAUAUGAGUUACCUUUUGAAGGAGUGAUACAUAAUAAGGUAUUGCAUAUCACUGCCAAAUGUCAACAUAAGAUCAUUAACAGGGUACUAAUCGAUGAUGGACCAGGUUUGAAUAUCUGUCCAUUAUCCAUUUAGACUUAGUUGAACUAUGAUAUAGGUAAAAUGCGUCAAAAUGCGAUAAACAUAAGAUCUUUUGAUGAGGGUCAGAGAAACACUAUUAGAGAAGUUAAGUUGCGUCUCCAGAUGGGGCCUGCAGAGUUCUUAGUUGAGUUUCAAGUAAUGGACAUUUUCAAAAGUUAUAAUAUGCUCUUAGGAAGGCCUUGGAUUCAUACAGCGGGGGUCGUUUCUUCAAUAUUACACCAAUCGGUAAAAUUUGUGUGGGAAAAUAAUGAAGUGGUCAUCCAUGGUGAAGGUAGCCAUAUGAAUCACCCUAAUGGUUAUGUUCCUGUGAUUGAAGAAGUCUUGAAAGGGAUUUACUUUUAUAUAGUGGAGAUCAUGAAUGCAGCUGAGGAAGACCCAACUCCUUACGAGCCAAUGCCUUUGAUUUACAAUAUGUUGGCCACUGUUAUGCUGUGAAGCAGUUUGGAGCCCGGGAGCAGCUUAGGAAAGAAUUUGGAUGGGAUUAUUAAGCCUGUCUCUAUCCCAGAGAAGGUGUUCAAGUAUGGGAUAGGCUAUGUACCAAGUAAAGAAGGUGAAAGAAAGAUGAAAAGAGAGGGCCUAAAGUCAGCAAAGAGUCUGCCUCCACUCUACCAGUCAUUUCCUGUAUCUGUGAAGCCUACAAGCAAUGGUCUCGGGGCUGGAAUAAGGAACUUGUUUGAACAGUGUGAUGCCAUUAUGGAGGAUUUCCCUGAGAAGACUGAGAUCAAGGAAGAUGAACCAUGAGAGAAGCUGACAAAUUGGACUUCUACUUUAAUCAUGACACCCCGGUUGAUGUGGUAAAUGAAAGGAUGAAAUUUAACUUUUGCAAAAUCAGUGGUAGUCCGAAUGAGGCUCAAGACCCACCCUUUACGUUUUAUAUACCUCAUUUUUGCUUUUUAUAUUUCCAAAAGGCUCAGACCCGCACUGGUGCAGAUUAUAGCUAGUGUUUGUAAUGUUUUAAAUUUCAAUAAAAGUCUCCCUUAUUACAAAGACAUGUUUACUGAUUCCACUACAUUAUUUGAUUGUUAUAAUCUAACUUAUGUUGUUUAUGAUUUUUUUAAUAAUAAUUUAAAACCUGCCAGUAUCAUGUCAUGUCAAGAGCUAAAUAAAAAAAUUGAAGCAAAUGAUGAUGAAUUGGAGAACUUUGAUGAAGAAAGAAUGGACCCAGAACGAUUAACAGAAGAACUGGAAGAUUUUGAGGAUCCAGAAAAGCCCAACCUAGAGAAGACCGAGGUUGUUAACCUAGUGAUGACAACAAAGUCAAAGAAACCAGAAUAAGUGUUCAUCUUACAGAAAUACAAAAAAGAGAACUCGUCGGAUUUCUUAAAUAAUACAUUGAUAUAUUUGCUUGGUUCUAUGAUACAUGCUCGGAUUGAGUACAGAUAUCAUAUCACACAAGUUACCGAUUGAUCUAGGAUUCAAUCCUGUGAAGUAAAAGUUGCAAAAAUUCAAGCCAGAUCUGAGUCUAAAAAUCAUGGAAGAAGCCACUAAGCAGAUCCAAGUCAAUGUGGUUGAAGUCACAAAGUAUCCAACAUGGCUAGCCAAUAUUGUUCAAGUACCAACGAAAGAUGGAAAGGUCAGGAUUUGUGUCGAUUAUAGGGACUUGAACAAAGCCAGUCCUAAAGAUAACUUUCCACUGUCCAACAUCCAUAUUCUCAUUGUCAAAUAUUAAUGGAUGAAGAAGAUGCAGAGAAAACAACCUUCAUCAGAUCCUGGGGUGUUUAUCACUAUAGGGUUAUGCCCUUCAGUCUCAAGAAUCUUGGUGCUAUGUAUAUGAGAGCCAUGACAACCAUAUUUCAUGAUAUGAUCUAUAAAGAGAUUGAAGUGUAUGUAGACGAUAUGAUCAUCAAAUCUUGCAGUAGUUCAGACCACUUAGCUCAUUUGGGAAAAUUCUUUAAUCAAUUGUGGAAGUACAAUUUGAAGCUAAACCCCGCUAAAUGUACUUUUGGAGUGACGAUUGGGAAUUUGUUGGGUUUCAUAGUUAGUAGAAGGGGAAUUGAGCUCGACCCCUCAAAAAUUAAGGCAAUCCAAGAACUGCCUCCACCAAAGGCGAAGAAGGAAGUCAAGAGUUUAUUAGGGAGAUUGAAUUACAUCAGCAGGUUCAUAGGCCAUUCAACAGUUAUUUGUAAGCCAAUCCUCAAGAUGACAAGGAAAUAUACAAGUAAAUGGACUAAAGAAUGCCAGUGAGCUUUUGACAAGAUCAAGGAUUAUAUGUCUAGUCCACCAGUACUAGUUUCUCCAAGAGAAGAAAGCCCUCUAUGUCAAAUCUAUCGGUCUCUGGUAAUGCAUUUGGGUGUGUCUUAGGGCAACAUGAUGAAACUUGAAAGAAGGAAAAAGAAAUCUAUUACUUGAGUAAGAAGUUCAAUCCAUAUAAGGCUCAUUACACACUAUUGGAAUGAACGUGUUGUGCAUUGACUUGGGUGGCCCAAAAGAUGAGACAUUACAUAACAUCCUAUACAAUGUAUCUCAUCUCCAGAAUUGAUCCUCUGAAGUACAUAUUUCAAAAGUUCAUGCCCACGGGGAAAUUAGCCAAAUAGAAAAUGCUAUUGAGUGAGUUCGACAUUGUAUACGUGACUUAAAGGGUAGGCCCUAGCGGAUCAUCUAGCAGAGAAUCCAGUUAAUAAGAGUAUGAGCCACUCCAAACUUUUUUCCCGAAUGAAGAGGUAUUGUUCGUAAGUGAAGACAUUGCCAAAAUAUACUUGGGCUAGAGAUUAUUCUUUGAUGGGGCAGUUAAUUUCAAGGGUUCAGGAAUUGGGGUAGUCUUAAUAUCAGAAAUUGGUCAACAUUAUCCGAUUACCACUAAGUUGUGCUUCCCUUGCACUAAUAAUUUGACUGAAUACGAGGCUUGUAUUCUCGGUUUCAGACUGGCUAUUAAUAUGACUAUUCUGGAGCUACUAGUCAUUGGAGAUUCUGAUCUAUUAGUUCACCAGGUUUAGGGUGAAUGGGCUGUAAAGAAACCUAAAAUCACGCCAUACGUGGAAUUGGUACAUGAGUUAAGUAGAAGAUUUAAGGAGGCGGAAUUCAAGCAUGUUCCCAGAAUACAAAAUGAGUUCGCCAAUGCUUUGGCCACUAUAUCCUUCAUGAUUCAACAUCUGGAUCAAAGUUACAUUAAUUCAUUGGAAAUAAGUUUGAAAGAGCAACCAGCAUAUUGCGCAUAAGUUGAGGCAGAACUAGACGAAAAUCCAUGGUACUUCGAUAUCAACAUGUAUUUGGAAACCAGGGCAUACCCCGAAGACUCAAUGUCAAUCAGAAGAAAAUGAUUUGUUAUAUGGCUAAUAAUUUCUUUUUGAACGGGGAAGACCUUUAAAGGAGGACCCUAGAUUUAGGAUUUCUAUGAUUUGUAGGCUAUAUUGAAGCUACAAGAUUACUUGAAGAAAUUCAUGCCGGAACGUGCAGACCUCAUAUGAAUGGAUUCACUCUAUCCAAGAAGUUCCUGAGAGCCAGAUAUUUUUGGAUGAAUAUGGAAAGUGACUGUAGCAAAGUCUGUGCAAAAAUGUCGUAAGUGCCAAAUACAUGGGGAUCUGAUCCGAGUGCCCCCAUACAAACUUAAUGUUAUGAGCUCUCCCUGGCCAUUUGUAGUUUGGGGUAUGGAUGUCAUUGGCCCGAUUGAGCCACCAGCUUCUAAUGGACACAGAUUCAUUUUAGUUGCUAUAAUUACUUUACCAAGUGGGUAAAAGAUGUAAUAUACAAGGAGGUAACCAAGAAGGUAGUAGCAGAUUCUGUCAAGAAUAACUUGAUUUGUCGAUUCGGGAUACCCGAGUCAAUCAUCACAGAUAAUAGAGCAAACCUGAAUAGUCAUCUGAUGAAAGAGAUAUGUGAUCAAUUAAAGAUCACUCAUCGAAAUUCAACCGCAUAUCGCCCUCAAAUGAAUGGAGCGAUGGAAAUUGCCAACAAGAACAUCAAGAAGAUCUUAAGAAAGAUGGUUGAUAGUCAUCGAUAGUGGCACGACAUGCUGCCUUAUGCCUUGCUGGGAUAUCGCACGACAGUCAAAACUUUGACUGGGCAACUCCUCAUGCGUUAGUCUAUGGAAUAGAAGCGUAAUACGCGCUGAAGUUGAAAUACCACCUUUAAGGAUCAUCCAUAAAACGGGUAUGAGUAGUGAAGAAUGGUUCCGCACCCAUCACGAACAACUUAUGAUGAUUGAUGAAAAAAGAAUGAACACUGUAUGCCAUGGCCAACUAUAUCAACAACAAAUGAUUCAUGUUUUCAAUAAAAGAGUAAGAGCUCGCACAUUUAAAGUUGGACAAUUGGUACUCAAAUGCAUAUUCCCUCAUCAAGAGGAGUAUAAGGGAAAGUUUGCUCCAAAUUGGCAGGGACCGUAUGUAAUCUGCAAAGUGUUAUCAGGAGGGGCCUUGAUUUUAUCUGAAAUGGAUGGCUAAAAGUAGACAAAGUCAAUUAAUUCUGAUGUAGUAAAGAGAUACGAUGUUUGACAUGAGGUUUCUUUGUGCUUAUUUCCUUGUAAUUGCUUUCUCAUCUGCAAUCAUUUUUACGCUUUGUAGUAGCUUUAAAUUCCCCUUUCCAUUGAUGUACGAACUACGUUUGACCUAAAUUCCCAAUGAUGGGAUGUGUAGGAGGCCUAUGUCAGCUUCGAUUAAUCCCUUAGGAAACUUUAUUUUUAUUCUCUACGAACUACGUUUGACCUGAAUUCCCAAUGCUGGGAUACGUAGGCGGUCUAUGGCGACUUCGGUCAAUCCCUUAGGAAACUUUAUUUACAUUCUCUAUGAACUACAUUUGACCUGAGUUCCCAAGAAGAGGAUACGUAGGUGGCCUAUGUCGGCUUCAGUCAACCCCUUAGAAAAUUUUAUUUAUGUUGUCUUGAACUACGUGAUGACCUAAUUUCAAAUGAUGGGAUAUGUAGGCAGCCUUUGUCAGCUUCAGUCACCCCUCUACCUAUAUUUUUUAUUAUCUUCUACAUUGUGGGAACUAUGUUUGACCUGAUUCCUGUUCAACGGGAUACGUAGGCGCCAUAAUGGCUCGGUCAUAUCACCCCAGAAAAUGAAAACUGGGGUGGAAUUUUUUGAGAAGGAAUCUCCAAAAAAUUCAAUAGAAGAAGAUCAUACUCUGGCUAAACAAAUUAAAUUUUGGGAGAAAUAUCAGUAACUAGGGCAGAAAUUUUGAGGUAGACCUCAAAAUUUCCACCAUACUGUACUAGAGAGUUCCAAGAUGACAACAAAGAUUUUUGUCUCGAAAGAGUAGAGUCGACCUCAGGAACCUUUAGCUACAAAGGCUCAAUGCCUCAUACCAAGAAUGUUCAUUUAAGAUCGUAUAUGACAUGACUUAUUGAUAGAGUUUCCUCCCAAACUUAUAAAAAGAUUUUUGAAAAUUCAAUAUUUUGUUAAAGUACUUACUUUUAAUUAAUUUAUGCUCUUGUUUUUCCCUUACACCCACCAACCCAGGGAGUCGGAGGAGGAGUCAAAAGAUGAAAAACACAUGAAGAAGAUAAGCACUCGAUGAUGGUGAUGACAGGAUUUGAAGACCGAGGAAGUCAACAAAGAUCAAUUUUUCCAAAAACUAACAAUUUUUCUAUGGAUGAAGGUUAUCUUGAAGCCAACAAAAAACCAACAAAGACACCGAUUAUUCACCAUAUUUCUUUGGUUUAAAGGAAUAUAAGGAAGCAAAAUGUCCCAAGGCCGAUAAGACAGAGCCAGGGUGGUCAGGAGAUGAAGACAGCUGAGUUUCCCAAAACUAACAUGUUUUUGUGGUUGUAG